rnacentral:rRNA from 1 species
AUUGAACGCUGGCGGCAUGCCUUACACAUGCAAGUCGAACGGCAGCGCGGGAGCAAUCCUGGCGGCGAGUGGCGAACGGGUGAGUAAUACAUCGGAACGUGCCCAAUCGCGGGGGAUAACGCAGCGAAAGCUGUGCUAAUACCGCAUACGAUCUACGGAUGAAAGCAGGGGAUCGCAAGACCUUGCGCCAAUGGAGCGGCCGAUGGCAGAUUAGGUAGUUGGUGAGGUAAAGGCUCACCAAGCCUUCGAUCUGUAGCUGGUCUGAGAGGACGACCAGCCACACUGGGACUGAGACACGGCCCAGACUCCUACGGGAGGCAGCAGUGGGGAAUUUUGGACAAUGGGCGAAAGCCUGAUCCAGCCAUGCCGCGUGCAGGAUGAAGGCCUUCGGGUUGUAAAGUGCUUUUGUACGGAACGAAACGGUCUUUUCUAAUAAAGAAGGCUAAUGACGGUACCGUAAGAAUAAGCACCGGCUAACUACGUG